GACGAACGCUGGCGGCGUGCUUAACACAUGCAAGUCGAACGGAAAGGCCCUGCUUUUGUGGGGUGCUCGAGUGGCGAACGGGGGAGUAACACGUGAGUAACCUGCCCUUGAAUUUGGGAUAACUUCAGGAAACUGGGGCGAAUACAGGAUAGGAGCUCCUGCUGCAUGGUGGGGGGUGGAAAGUUUCGGCGGUUGGGGAUGGGCUCGCGGCUUAUCAGCUUGUUGGUGGGGUAGUGGCUUACCAAGGCUUUGACGGGUAGCCGGCCUGGGAGGGUGACCCGCCCCAGUGGCACUCGGGUAGGGCCCAGACUCCUACGGGAGGCAUCGGUGGGAGAUAUUGCGCGAUGGGCGGAAGCCGGAUGCAGCAACGCCGCGUUCGAGAUGACUGCCUUCGGGUUGUAACCCGCUUUCGCCUGUGACGAAGCGUGCGUGACGGUAAUGAGUAAAGAAGCACCGGCUAACUACGUG
rnacentral:rRNA from 1 species